UCUUUUUCUCUCUCUUUCAGCCUGAUCAGAAACCUGCUCAGGUCUUCUCAGGGUUUCAUCUCCUUCAUUAAAAUGCUUCGCCCUCGGGCGGCUGCGACGCUUCACAGGCUUCAUGCAGUUACGCAGGUGUUAGAUAAGACUGUCACCGUAAAACCUUCCAGACUGCAAGUUCAGCAUGUUGUGGCUCACAAUCAGGUCAUCAGCCAAGCAAAGCCUCUGACUGGACAUCAGAGCUCCACCUCCACAUGAGAAAACGCUUCAACAGUGUCAGUCCACAGAGACAGAAGAACCAAACGCAAUGAGUCAAAAAAUCAUCGCCUUUAUCGUCUUGGCUCUGCUCCUCAUUGCAUGUGAGGUUGAAGGGCUUGUACAUUGCAGGGUGUUCGGUGGAUUCUGCAAACUUCCUGGGACAUGUAUCGGGGGGGGGCACCUGAAUGCAGCAUGUCCUUAUGGAUUAUUUUGCUGUUCUUACCCUGAUGAAAGGACCAUGGAACAAUAUCUACAUCAAUAAAGACUAACCUGAGCUGUCACAGGCGAGCUCCCUA